CAGAAAUAGACUCCGAUCAGUCGCUCGACCGAUCCGCAUAUUGUAUGAGGGCGAGCGGCCUGUGUUGGUAAACAAAUCGAGUCAACACGACCGAUAAUAUUUGUAAUUUUUAAGUUUAAAAAAGGUUUAAAAGAAGUAUACAAUAAUAAUGUGAUUAAAAAAUACUUACAUAUGAAAGGUAACGGCAUGUUUUAGUAAAUUUGACGUG
rnacentral:misc_RNA from 1 species